AGAGUUUGAUCAUGGCUCAGGAUGAACGCUGGCGGCGUGCCUAACACAUGCAAUUCGAGCGAAGCACUUUACUUUGAGAUCUUCGGAAGGAUAAGUUUUGUGACUGAGCGGCGGACGGGUGAGUAACGCGUGGGUAACCUGCCUCACACAGGGGGAUAACAGUUAGAAAUGACUGCUAAUACCGCAUAAGACCACAGCACCGCAUGGUGCAGGGGUAAAAACUCCGCGG
rnacentral:rRNA from 1 species